rnacentral:rRNA from 1 species
AACGAACGCUGGCGGCAUGCCUAACACAUGCAAGUCGAACGAAACCUUCGGGUCUAUUGUCGCACGGGUGCGUAACGCGUGGGAACCUUCCCUUAUGUUCGGAAUAACUCCCCGACAGGGGUGCUAAUACCGGAUAAUGUCUUCGGACCAAAGAUUUAUCGCGUUUGGAUGGGCCCGCGUUGAAUUAGCUAGUUGGUAGGGUAAAAGCAUACCAAGGCGACGAUCCAUAACUGGGCUGAGAGGAUGAUCAGCCACACUGGGACUGAGACACGGCCCAGAAUCUUACGGGAGGCAGCAGUGGGGAAUAGUGGAACAUGGGCGGAAGGAUGAACCAGCAAUGACGCGUGAGUGAUGAAGGUAGUAGGGUUGUAAAGUUCUUUUACCCGGGAUGAUAAUGACAGUACCGGGAGAAUAAGCCCCGGCUAACUACGUG